UUUCCGUCGUGGAUUGCGGCUGCGUCCAGCACUGGGCAAUGUAGGUUGUUUGACUUGAGAAGUGGAAAGAUUAUUUCUUCAUGGCAGGCUCAUGAUGGAUAUGUGACAGAGUUGGCUGCAACUGCAGAUUAUCAGCUUGUUUCUAGUUCUCGAAUAUGGGAUUUGAGAAGGAAUUGGAGCGCGGAACAGAG